AGAAAGGUCAGCUAACUAAGCUUUUGGGCCCAUACCCCAAGAAUGUUGGUUAAAGUCCAACCCUUCCUA
rnacentral:tRNA from 1 species